rnacentral:rRNA from 1 species
AGUGAACGCUGGCGGUAGGCCUAACACAUGCAAGUCGAACGGCAGCACAGGAGAGCUUGCUCUCUGGGUGGCGAGUGGCGGACGGGUGAGGAAUACAUCGGAAUCUACUCUGUCGUGGGGGAUAACGUAGGGAAACUUACGCUAAUACCGAAUACGACCUACGGGUGAAAGCAGGGGAUCUUCGGAACUUGCGCGAUUGAAUGAGCCGAUGUCGGAUGAGCUAGUUGGCGGGGUAAAGGCCUACCAAGGCGACGAUCCGUAGCUGGUCUGAGAGGAUGAUCAGCCACACUGGAACUGAGACACGGUCCAGACUCCUACGGGAGGCAGCAGUGGGGAAUAUUGGACAAUGGGCGCAAGCCUGAUCCAGCCAUACCGCGUGGGUGAAGAAGGCCGUCGGGUUGUAAAGCCCUUUUGUUGGGAAAGAAAUCCAGCUGGCUAAUACCCGGUUGGGAUGACGGUACCCAAAGAAUAAGCACCGGCUAACUUCGUGCCAGCCGCCGCGGUAA